rnacentral:rRNA from 1 species
GUCUAAGGCCAUAGCACCCUGAGCAGCCCUAUCUCAUUUGAUCUCGGAAGCUAAGCAGGGUCGGGCCUGGUUAGUACUUGGGUGGGAGACCACCUGGGCAUACCGGGUGCUGUAGGCU